rnacentral:rRNA from 1 species
UGCAGCAGCCGCGGUAAUACCGGCAGCCCGAGUGAUGGCCGAUAUUAUUGGGCCUAAAGCGUCCGUAGCUGGCCGAACAAGUCCGUCGGGAAAUCCACGUGCUUAACACGUGGGCGACCGGCGGAAACUGUUCGGCUUGGGGCCGGAGGACCCGAGGGGUACGUCGGGGGUAGGAGUGAAAUCCCGAGAUCCUCGACGGACCGCCGGUGGCGAAAGCGCCUCGGGAAGAUGGAUCCGACGGUCAGGGACGAAAGCUUGGGUCUCGAACCGGAUUAGAAACCCCGGUAGUCC